rnacentral:lncRNA from 1 species
UGUGAACUGACAAGCCCAUGGAUGUCUACAAAGAGUGAACUGAUCACUGUGGGCUGGCCUUUGAGGCAUCAGUGAGGCAUUGUGGCUCUGGAGACCUGGAAGCACUGCUAACUGUUCUCUCGAUUUUCUGACGCUCGGCCACAUCAACCUGUCAUACUAGUUGUGAGGAGAAGUCAAGGACAGUGACACAGCCAGCCAGUCUGAGGCAUUUUCCAUCAUCCUGAAGGAGUUGCCCUAUCCUGCUUUUCACUGGAGGGGGCAUGGAUGGGGGCUCCUGACACACUGACCUCUGUCAGUUCCUUCAGCACACCAGGCUAAUCCCCAGUCUUGCGCCUUUGGACCAGAGGUUUUCUUUGCUCAGAAUACUGUUUCAACAGAUCUUUGCAUAGCUGGCUCUCGCUAUUUGACUAAAAUGUCAAUCCUCAGAGAGGUACUCCUUAAAUAUCCAAUCUUAAGUAGCAUCCCUUUCUCCCAGGAUCCUGUUUUUCAGAACUCUGUUUUCUUUUUAAAACACUUGUUAUCUGAAAGGAUGUCGUCUGCUUGCUUGUUUGUUCAUUUCUUUAUUGUCUAUUCCAUCUCACCCCUUCUCAGGAUGUAAGCUGUUUAAAGGCAAGGACCUUAUCUGUGUUACAUGCUGUAUUCCCAGGGCUCAGACAGAGCAUGACCUAU